UACGUAGGGUGCAAGCGUUUAAUCGGAAUUACUGGGCGUAAAGCGUGCGCAGGCGGCUUUGCAAGACAGAUGUGAAAUCCCCGGGCUUAACCUGGGAACUGCAUUUGUGACUGCAUGGCUAGAGUACGGCAGAGGGGGGAUGGAAUUCCGCGUGUAGCAGUGAAAUGCGUAGAUAUGCGGAGGAACACCGAUGGCGAAGGCAAUCCCCUGGGCCUGUACUGACGCUCAUGCACGAAAGCGUGGGGAGCAACAGG
rnacentral:rRNA from 1 species